rnacentral:rRNA from 1 species
UACGAAGGGGGCGAGCGUUGUUCGGAAUUACUGGGCGUAAAGGGCGCGUAGGCGGUUCGGUAAGUCCCGUGUGAAAUCCCUCGGCUCAACUGAGGAACUGCACGGGAGACUGCCGGGCUUGAGUUCGGGAGAGGGAAGCGGAAUUCCGGGUGUAGCGGUGAAAUGCGUAGAUAUCCGGAGGAACACCGGUGGCGAAGGCGGCUUCCUGGACCGACACUGACGCUGAGGCGCGAAAGCUAGGGGAGCAAACGGG